AUUGAACGCUGGCGGCAGGCUUAACACAUGCAAGUCGAGCGGAGAUGAGGUGCUUGCACCUUAUCUUAGCGGCGGACGGGUGAGUAAUGCUUAGGAAUCUGCCUAUUAGUGGGGGACAACAUUCCGAAAGGAAUGCUAAUACCGCAUACGUCCUACGGGAGAAAGCAGGGGAUCUUCGGACCUUGCGCUAAUAGAUGAGCCUAAGUCGGGGUAGGUAGUUGGUGGGGUAAAGGCCUACCAAGGCGACGAACUGUAGCGGGUCUGAGAGGAUGAUCCGCCACACUGGGACUGAGACACGGCCCAGACUCCUACGGGAGGCAGCAGUGGGAAUAUUGGACAAUGGGGGGAACCCUGAUCCAGCCAUGCCGCGUGUGUGAAGAAGGCCUUAUGGUUGUAAAGCACUUUAAGCGAGGAGGAGGCUCUUUUGGUUAAUACCCAAGAUGAGUGGACGUUACUCGCAGAAUAAGCACCGGCUAACUCUGUGCCAGCAGCCGCAGUAAAAC
rnacentral:rRNA from 1 species